rnacentral:rRNA from 1 species
GACGAACGCUGGCGGCGUGCCUAAUACAUGCAAGUCGAACGCAGUGGGAACGGGUGAGUAACACGUGGGUAACCUCCCAUCAGAGGGGAUAACACUUGGAAACAGGUGCUAAACCGAUACUGAUGGAUGGACCCGCGGUGCAUUAGCUAGUUGGUGAGGUAACGGCUCACCAAGGCCACGAUGCAUAGCCGACCUGGGAGGGUGGUCUGGAACACUUGGACAGUGAGACGGCCCAGAAUCCUACGGGAGGCGCAGGAAGGGAAUAUCCGGCGAUGGGCAAAAGUGUGACCCAGCAACGCGGCGCGAGUGAAGAAGGUUUUCUGAUCUUGAAACUCUGUGGUUAGAGAAACGGGAUCUAAACAGAAAGCCACGGCUAACUACGUGCCAGCAGCCGCGGUAAUUC